AAAGGUUAUGGUUUUAAAAAAAUAGCUUAAAUAUAUAAACUCAGAAGAAAUGCUGACUUAAUGCUUACACAGGCUUUAACAAGAAGCUGAUUAACUUGUACAGUUCUAGCUGUUCAUUGUAAAGAAACUUCAAAUAGGUUUGUAGGACUACAGUGACUGCUGGGCUGUAUAACUAAUCUUUUUGCAUCUUUUGCAUUCAGGCAUCUUUUUGCCUGAGUAACUAACAUAGGAUUUAUAGCUUCUAGCUGGAUGCUGGAUUAGUUUGUGAUCUAGAACAUGCUUUUCACUGUUAUAGUCAAAUUGAAACCCAGUUUCUUGAGAGGUGGAAGUAGUUCCUUAAAGCACGAGAUUAUUCAAUUUUUAAAGGGCCUAAUGUCUGUUUCAUUGUUUCUUUGGAAGUGAUAAUUAAAAUGUUAACAGCAACUGGCAGCAAAACUGUCAAUUUGAGUGUCAAUGUAAACAUUUCUAGGCAGUGUAGAGGAGUUCACUUUAAAAACAGCACAACUUCGACUUGCCACUCUUGAUCUUGACUGAUACUUUCAAGUACUUUCCAAAAAGGCAAAAUGGAGGAAGGGGUUAACGUUAGAGCCUGUGUGUAAUAGACAAAAUAGGUUCUCUUUUUGCUUUUCAGAUAAGCGACAGUGACCUACUUUAUUGGAGGGAGCUGGUCUCAAAAUGCCUAGCAGAUUAUUCCUCUCCUGAGUGUUGCAAGCCUGAUCAUAAGAAGCUAGUUUGGAUUGUUUCUAGACGUACAGCCCAGAAUCUACAAAACAGUUACUACAGUGUUCCAGAGUUGCCAACAAUACCAGAGGGUGGAUGUCUCAAUGAAAGUGAGAGCGAAGACUCCUCUGAAGAUAUGAGCAGUGGAGAAGAAAUCCUUAGCAGUUCUCCUCCGAGUGAUCUGGAAGGCACCUUCUUCUUCAAACUUGAACCUAAAACAAAAUGGCAAGCUCUUAGCUGUCAUUCGUAGCAUCAAAUCUUGAUUGUAUUAGGUUGAACUUUUAAAUGCACCAUAGAGUGUUUUGGCAAUAAUAAGUGAGGUGGUAAUGUGUAAACUGUAUUAAGGCAAGAAUUGCUGUGGUAUGUAAACGCCUUGUUUUUUUGUUGUUGUAAUUUUAAGGAAGGCAAAAAAAUCCCAUUCAGGUUCCCAGUUCGGCAAAAAAGUCCAUGUAUAGUUCUGUUGUCACUAAGCAUAAAUGUUCUGUAUCUGUUGGUCCAAAAUGCUUAGCAGCUAAACGCACAAACGGUAAUGGAGGCUGACAGCAUACUGAGCUAUGUUAACAGGAAUGUAGCUAGUAGAUUGAGGGAAGUAGGGUUUUUUUCCUCCCUUUACAUGGCAUUCUCACUUGGAACAGUGUCCAGUUUGGGGCUCAAGAUGUUGAUCAACUUGCACAAGUUCAACAGGGAGCUGCCAGGAUGGGUAAGUGAUGUGGGGCGCAGGACCUGUGAAGAGAGGCUAAGCAAAAUUAGCUUAUUCAGCCUGGCAAAACGGACUUGGGGGAUGGAAAUGGGACUGAACAGCAGGCUUUUGGUAUCAAAGAGAAGUUUGUGGAUGAGGAGAUUAUUUCAGGGUCUUGGCUGAGAAGUGUGGAGCAAGAAUUGAGAGGCUUUCAUUAAAAUGAAAUAUGCGGUUCUCUCCUCAUGGAAGGAGUUUGCUCCAUGGGGUCAGUUAAACAUGGACGUGGACCAAGAGAGGCUGUGCAGUCUGUCCUGGGGAGUGCGCAGGAUUCAGCACUGGUGCAAUCCCAAGCUUGAUUUGAAUUCAGUGUUGACCCUUCUUUGAGCCAGGAGGUUGGGUGAGAGUCCUCUUGAGGGCAUCUUCACUCUUACCCAGCUUGUUCUAAUCCCAGAAUACUGAGUAGGUUAUGUGGAAUGAGAUGUAUGGGUAAUACCAGACUGAAAUGAUUUACUGUCAAAUGCUGAAAGUGCUUUAACACUUGACAUGCUGUGCACCUUUUCAGCAGGAUCUUUUGUACUCGAAGCAGAUUUUUUUUUUUAAGUUUGUUUUUUGUAAACUUGAGAAAUUCCUGUUUCCCAACAGGAGUAUGUAUGGCAAGAAUGAUAUUUCCAGUUAAUGCUAGCUUUCACUGAAGGAUAGUAUCAAGUAUGUGGCUGGGAGUAGUUUCAUAUUUUCUUUAAUACAGAUGGUUUUUACACUGAAAUUCACUUUGUCAAUUUCAGUGUGUUUUAAAAUGCUAACUGUUAACAUGUCAGUCCAUACUACUAGCUUAGACUUAUUAACGUGGUAAAUCUUGGUAAGUCUACAUUCCUUUAAAUAUUUAACCCUUGUGGUUGUUUUUCAGUAUAUUCAUGUUAUUGAGUCAUCAUCAGACUUGUUUGCAUGCUUAUAUAAGGCAGUUAGUGCAGGAAAAGUUGAUAUGCAGUAAUAUCAGGUAAAUGUGAUGUUGAUGAAGUAGUUAAUGUAAUGGGUUGUUUUCAGACCUUGCUUUAUUAAAGCACAAAUUGAAGUAAGAUUGGUUUCUUCAUACUGAGAACACAGCUAGGUAGCAAGGAGACUUAAGUAGCUCAGAACAAUGGUGUGAAGUGUGUUGGUGCCAAAGUAGAAAUGAAGGAGCAAACAAGCUAAAAGCUGGUAGGUGCAAGCCUUCUUGUAGAAAGGUAAGUUCAGUGCUGUGAGUUCAUAACUGUUAUGUGAUUUCAAUUUCAUAAAAAUAUGAAAAAGUUUACAAAAAUGUAUAUAAAAAUGUAAAUUACAAAAUGUACAGAAAAAAAUUUAAAACAAAUGAGCAGAAAAUACUGUAUUUUUUUACAUUGUAUGUAACUUUUUGUAGGUAUGUUGCAUGUACAUAGUAAUUUAUUGUGUACUCUCUAUGUUACAAAUACUGUACAUCUGCAGACUUGUUACUGCAAGUCCUGUGCCUGGAAGCUCACUUCUCAAAUGGAGUACUUUGGUUGCAGGUAACAAACCUCCUGAGUCUUGUUUCAGUUGAGAACAAAAAUAAACCAAGUGCUGGAUUUGUUAA